GACGAACGCUGGCGGCGUGCUUAACACAUGCAAGUCGAACGGUGAAGCGCCUUCCUUUUUGGUGGGUGUGGAUGAGUGGCGAACGGGUGAGUAACACGUGAGUAACCUGCCCCCUUCUUCUGGAUAACCGCAUGAAAGUGUGGCUAAUACGGGAUAUUCUGGGUCUGUCGCAUGAUGGGUCUGGGAAAGAUAUUGUUUCGGUGGGGGAUGGGCUCGCGGCCUAUCAGCUUGUUGGUGGGGUGAUGGCCUACCAAGGCGGUGACGGGUAGCCGGCCUGAGAGGGUGGACGGUCACACUGGGACUGAGACACGGACCAGACUACUACGGGAGGCAGCAGUGGGGAAUAUUGCACAAUGGGCGGAAGGAUGAUGCAGCGACGCCGCGGGGGGGAUGGAGGCCUGCGGGUUGUGAACCUCUUUCGCCAGUGAAGCAGGCCUGCCUCGUUUGUGGGUGGGUUGACGGUAGCUGGAUAAGAAGCGCCGGCUAACUACGUG
rnacentral:rRNA from 1 species